UCACAUCCCCGCCCCGUGCCGCCCUGCGCUGCGCGGGGGUUGCGCGGGGCUUUGCGCUCCGCUCGGCUCCCUGCGCCGCUCCGCUUUGUACGUGCGGCCGCUGCGCGGAAAGUGCGCGGAGCAGCGCGGAGCGGGGCCGCCAUGGCGUGGCCCUGCAUCACCCGCGCCUGCUGCAUCGCCCGCUUUUGGAACCAGCUGGAUAAAGCCGAUAUCGCCGUCCCUUUGGUUUUCACCAAAUAUUCCGAAGCCACCGAGCAGCCCCUCCCCACGCAAAUCCCGCGCAGCGCGGCGGCGCCCAUCGAUACCCAACCCGGCGGAGAUGCCGCGGCUGCGGGAGGGGGGGACGCGGCUCCCGGUCCCGCACGGCCCGGAACGGCCCCGCACGGCUCCCCGCCCGCGGACUCGGUGAUGCGACACGACUACAAACCAUGGAAGGUGCAACGCCCCGAACCCAGCUGCAAACCCAAAAGCGAGUACCAGCCGUCCGAUACGCCCUUCGAGAAGGAGACGCAGUACCAAAAGGAUUUCCGCGCUUGGCCCAUCCCUAAAAGAGGGGACCACCCGUGGAUCCCCAAACCGGGUCCUUCCCCCGUGCUCGGCCCUGAGCGCGGAUCUCCCGAGAAAGCGGCUCAGGAGAAGAGGAGGAAGAAGGAGGAGGAGGUGGAAGCGGACGACGAGCAUCCCAAGGCGGCCCGGCCCGGGGAUGGCCGAGAGAAGGGGAGGCAGAGGGGCGAUGAGGCGGGCGGGCAGGAGGGCCGGGGUCGGGCGGCCGCCGAUGCUCUCAACCGGCAGAUCAAGGAGGAGGUGGUGGCGGCGGGGGUCAGCUCGUCCUACAGAAACGAGUUCAGACCUUGGAUAGACGUCAAGCCCGUGAAGGCUAUAAAAGCAAAGGCUCAGUACAAGCCUCCAGAUGAGAAAAUGACCCAUGAAACCAGUUACAGCGCUCAGUUCAAGGGGGAAACCAGUAAGCCUGCUCCAGCUGAUAACAAAUUCCUGGAGCGCAGAAGGAUACGCACUCUCUACAGUGAACCUUACAAAGAACCUCCAAAGGUGGAAAAGCCUAGCGUAAAGCCUUCCAAACCAAAAAAGACCACAACAAGCCAUAAACCCCUGAAAAAGGCCAAAGACAAGCAGAUUGCAUCUGGACGGGCUGCCAAGAAAAAGAGCGCCGAGACCUCCAACACAACAAAGCCAGAGGACAAGGAGAAAAGUAAAGAGAUGAACAAUAAACUGGCUGAGGCAAAAGAGUAAAUGUCACUGCACUUUCCUUUCUUUCUCUUUUUUCUUUUCCUUCUUCCUUUCCUUUUAUUUUUUUUUUCUUUUUCUUUUUCCUUUGAUUAAAUAAAGGCCACAAAAUUAAUUAGAGGCUUCUAAUCUGCUUUUUGUUCUGACUGUAUUAGAAGCUUUUCUGUUUUAUUUCCAAGGAGGAUUAGCGAAUCCUUGUUUCUGAGGUCAGGUUGUUCUGCUUUGCCUGCACAACACGGCUCUGCACAGAGUGAGGAUGAGCGCAGGAGGGAUGUGGGAAUGCAUGAGGAUUGUAGGAGAGGGAGGUUAUGGGUCAGCCGCCAUUGUGUGCAAUAGCCUGUCCCUGCCCUUGGUCCUUCAGUGCCCAUCGUGCUGCCAAGGGGCUGUGCUCUCAUCCCACAAGGCCCUUUUUGGGGUUAGGCUUGGUCAUCUCCCACUGGUGUCAGCAGGCCUUUGAACAUGGAGAGGACCUGUGGAUUUGCCGUCAGUCCAUUAGAACUGGUGACAUGGCCAAGAGCCAUUUCUCCUGCUGACACUAGUUGGAAUUUUGCUCCAGCAAUGGGGAAGGAGAUCCCAUUGCAAAUAAAGAGCCAAAUUAUCCCCUGGUAUAGCUGUGGUAGAUGUUGCAUCAGGGCAGCUUUGCUCAUCAUAAUCACUUGAAGGCCUUGAUACAAGAUAGGAGUGAGGGAAGGCAUGGAGGUCAGUUGGAGACUUCCCAAGUGUGUGGCUGGUCAGACCAGGUUACCUGCAGGCAGUUCUUCCCAAUUGUUUAGCUUAGGAUGUGCAUCUUUUUGAUUGUCUCUGGUUUGUUUUGUAUCUUGGUCUGUUUUCUUUACUUCUGGAGUGCCAGUAGCCAGAGCUAGAUUCCAGAACAAGGUUUCGUUUGCAGAUGUGGCUUUCCAAAGGGUAGAAAGGAAUGACUCUCCAAGGUUGGCUGGAGCCAACAGACUCUGUUAUUUUGACUCUGGCUGUUGGAGCUCAUGUUGGCUUGCAAGCAACCUACCAGGACCAUAAACCAGUUACUGGGAUCCUCAGAGUGCCUUCAAGCAGGAUCUCAGGUUUUUAGUGCUAUUUACUGUUCCCAGCAAGGCUAGUCUGGAAGCUGUAUGCAGAGCGGGACCAUUUGUUUGUGAGUAUGAAGUAAUGCUGGUGGGCCAGACUGGCAUAGCAUAAUCCAGAAUUUGGGCCGUAGAGCCAUUGGGAGCCGGAUGAGGUGUGGUCCCAAUCCAAAUCUGCAUGCGUAACUCUUGGAUUUGGUUCUAAUUAUAUCAGGAUUAACUCUGAUCUGAUCAAGCUGAGCUGUGAAACUCUCCCGUGGCAACUGCACAGAGAGGGUGCAAGUCGAGAUGCACGGUCAUUCUUUGUUUUUGCAGUUCUACGUUUCCAUGCAGAAGCUUUCAUAGAGCAGACAAUUGGGAAGAACAAAUAGAGAGGGAUGGGAAGUGGGGCUGGGUGGUGAUAGAAGAGGAAUUUCAGAACUGUGUUGCAGUAGAGGUGUUGGAGUGAGGAAAGUCUUGCUGCUAGGAUAUCUUAGAGAUGUGAAACUAUCCAGUAGGAAAAUAAAUGGGCUGAGAGGGUAAAGAGUCUCAGUUUUGGAAUCUCACCCUAUUAGAAAUGGAUCUUUUGGAAGUGCGUGUGAGUGAUGGGCUACGAGGCUGAGAGAAAGUUUCCAAGGAGGAGGUAAGCUCUGUGGUAUACAGAUAGUGACAUUUGCUGGCCUUAGUAAUGAAUAAAUGCCAAGUUCAGUGUAUCGUGUGAUGUGUCCUGUUUGCCUUGCGCUAACAGCCUGAAGCUUUGAGUAUAAGUAAGUGUAGUGUUCUGAAUUCAGUGGUGUAUUUCCAAGCUUAGCUGUGUUAGAACUGUGUGCUAUGAGCUAGUCAGGUUGUGUAUGUGGAAAAUAUAUAUUCAUAUAUAGAAAUAUAUAUAUUUAAGCCUCCGAUAUUUAGGAGGAAACCAGGGAAAUCCUCCAGGAAGUAAAACUGUGGAAAUCUUUGCGAAUGUAAUGCAUUUUUUAUGUGCAUGCUCCAUGGAGACGCUGACCUGUCCAUAGCGGCCAUUGCUUUUCUGAAUGCUCAGAAUCCCCCACAGCACUGCUGGAGUGCAAAGCUCAGCUCUGCCCGCAGAGCAGCUCAGCAAAAGGCUUGCAUUGAGCUUGCAGAGGGGAGUGCUUUCCUCAGCCCUUCCCAACCCAUCACAUUAGGGACAGCUGGCCAGAGGAGCCCGAGCUUCCAGGGCUCUGUGUGGUUUCCUGGCAUUUAGAUGCUCACAUUUAGAUCUUCAAACUCUACAAUAAAGUCCAUUCUUGUCUCAGGAUGUAGCAACAGCUGUGAAGAUGACGUGUCACAGCAGGCAGAAAAUGUCAGGAAAGCGUGUAGACAGUCAUCAAUAGCCCACCACGCCAUAAGAAAAGACCAUGCAAAACCAUUUUUUGCCCCUGAGUGUCACAUUGGAAGAAAUAGUGCAGCUACCACCACUUUGAUUUGAAUUCAAUGGAAACUUACCCCUUGAUUCAACGGGGACCAAAUUUUGCCCAAAGGACUGUCAGUGAGAGCCAUGCUCAGACCACCUACUGCAAACAUAUCCACGGUCUGGAUCAACUGCUUGAUAUCCUGGUCUUCAGGAUUGUUUCUUCACAAUGAACAGCAUCCAUCGUGGUGUUUGCAUUAAAUAUGCACAGCGAGUGGUCAGAAUAUGGCCUCACGUUUCCUUAAUACAUGAUGGUUUGGGUGGCAUCCAACUACAAAGCUAGAUGUGAAGGGUUAGCCAGCCAGAGCUCCUACAGUGGAGACACCUUCCAAGAGCCAUUGAUCCACGUGCUCUGGACACCUCUUUGGGUGGGAUGAACGACCCUUGGAAGGCUUCCAUUAUUGCAGAAUUAAACUGAGAGACUCUCAGGGCCUCCAUCUCCGAUAGCCACAAAGUGGAGCUAUAAAUUCUGUCCGUUGCUCCCAGGUCUUUAGCACACAUCUGAGAACAGAGUUUAGAUGUAUGUUCAAUGCCAGGAACAGCAGCAGUCAGGCCUCAGGCUGAAAUCCCACAUUGCUCAACCUUCCGCUGACUUCACACCCAUCCGACCCACUCAGGUUUAUCAGAAGCGAGACCAAAUCUCUGCCGUUUCAAGUUCACUUUGGACUCUGAGCUUGUCAAUCCCAUGGGGAAAGAGUGCUCUGCUGUUCUGUGUUUCCAGCUACCGCGAUGCUGAUUCUGUUUCACCGCUAACUUGUAAUAUGUUUUGCUUUCCUUGUAAAAAGACAAAGAACCCAAUGUCAUGCUUUCUACCCUGUGAAAGUUCCUAUGCUGUCGGUUGCUUGCUUUCUCAUUUUCACUGUAUUGUACUGUUACUCCUUUUCUGCAAAAUGGUGCUAAUUGCUUACUGAGCUCCUGUUUUCUGACUGCUUUGCACACCGAUCACCUGCUUCUUCAUUUGCAACGCGUCUGCUGAGAAAACAUGGCUCCCAUGAAUUCCACAAACUCUUGCCUCUUGGAGGCAGAUAGGAAGUGUCUAAUUAAUAUUUUGUGGCCUGGGUUUGGUUGCGUAUCACAGAUUGUCUCUUGUAACAUGUGAAGCACACCUCCUCGUGGUGCUUUUUCAUUCUUGCUGUUCGUAUGAGAAUGACACACACACACACACACACACCCAAACACACAAAUUAAUGUAUAGCCAAUUGAUUGUGACGUGCUUGUGAUCUUUGCUUGCUCAAAGGGUUUUUUUUUUCCAAUGAUAAAUAAAUGCUAAAGACAAAUACCACCUCCUUGAUCUUGUUUUCUCAAUAAGAAGCACAGUUAAGUGAAAUACCUUUCCAACCAUAAUCAGAUUUGUGUUGCUAGAGCCACCACUUCCAUGCCUGCCAUAGGGACAACUGAGCUGUUGCAGCCUGGCUCCCUUUAGAAAGCUGCUACCCUCAGCCUAGCCUGACCCGAGAGCUAAACGUUUGCAAGGGUGAAGAUGGACAGUGAAGUCGUGUGGACGGAGCAGGUAGUUUGCUUUCAUUUUCUCUGUACCCAUGGCGUGUCGAGCAGAGGGUUUGUUUGGUGAGUGCCGUACAUGCACGCUUGUGUCCGCAUUGCAUUGCAUCAGGGAGCAGAAACCACCAGGAGCUGGAGGGAGGGGAGAUGCUGUGGCCGUGUGGGAUUUAAUGACUUGCCUCUUCCCAACUGCCUACAGCUUUUGCUAGUGCCCCAGACCACCUGAAGGACCCAUAAGGGGCUGAAAGGCUGUAAGUCUUUGCUGAAGGUGAUGGGAAAUGCUUGGGUUGAGCCCUUUCAGCAUAUGACAAGCCUAGCCACCUCUGGUCAGGCACUUGGCAGCCUCUGUGGAAAUGCAAAGUGCUGAUGGGUGUACAAAUGGCAGUGCUGACUGUAUGGAUAAAGUGUUGACUGAGAGGAAAACAGGACUGAGGGUGCAGCUCGGUUUCAAAUGGUGAAGUCUGCUCUUAGAUUCAUCUAUUUUUUUUUCCCUUACCUGUAAGCUCCUACCUGCAGUUUUUAUUUUUAGCCAUGUUUUCUCUUUCAGUGGAUAUCCCAAUAACAUCCCCAUUCACCUGGGAAUAAUUCUCUGCUUUGGGGCUGUCUCUUGAAAUCUCUCCUCCAGCAUUGCACUGCUGUCUUCCAUGGAGCACCAACUCUUUAUCGUAUUUCUGUUUCUGGGUGCUAUUUUCCAUCUCUCUCUGGUUUACAAGCCAUCCUCUGACUCCGUUCUACCUGUGACUACAUGCUGUUUUCUGAUAUCGUACUGUAUCAACAUGCCUUCCCUCUCCCUUCUCCACCAGCUUCAUCCGCUCAUCUAUCAUGCAUACCUACAUGAGUUCUGGAGCAUUUCAGUCAAGCUGUAGGUCCUGAGAUUCAUCAUUUCAUCCCUACCAUAGCUGGAACUGGAGAAAACGUUCACAUUUAAAGGCUGGUCAUUGAUGGGGCUUGUCUGUGAAUGUCUAUGUUGGCCAAAACGUUUCUACCAAGAUGCAAAGUAGAGCAUGGAUAUGUGAUCCACCUGGUCCCACACAGCCACCCACAGUCAGUACUGUAAAAAGUGCCCUCGCUGCCCUGUUGCUCUUUGAACUUGCUUGUGGUCACCAAGCCUGCUCCUGGAGGGCAGGAUGCUUUGCUAGGAGACAAGGACUGAUAGGGUUGAUGAUGGGCAUGGAGACCUAGGAUCCCUGUUCUUCAGUCAUCCCUGUCUACAUUCACAUCUGCCAUCUAACUCAUUAAUCUUUGCCAUGUCGUUAGUGACUGGCACUGCCCACCAGUCUGCAAAGGCUGUUGUAAGGUUGUAGUGUUGGUAUCACUACAAAGUGCUGGGAAUGAGUUACUAAAAAUUUGACUGAGGUCAAAGGAUGAGCAGGGAUGUUUCAUCUGCUGAUGUGUCAGCCCUUAUACAAACACAGCCUCUUGUUUCUCAGUGUCCUUUGGAUUUCGGGUUCUUUUAGAGCUGUGCCACUGCAGUGACCUUUUAGGAAGAUGUCUCUGCCACAGCUGGUACCUCUGGGCAGCCAGGGAGUAACCACCAAUCCCAACAGCACAUCGACACUGAAUGAAGAAGAGGAGAAGUAAAGAAAAGAAUUCCCUGGUGUGACUGUGAAGACACGACUGUGUUCAGCUCUAAGAACAUCUUAAAGAUUUUCUGCAUUGUUGCAAUAUAUGGUGAUGUGCAGACACCGACUUCAGCUCUCUUGGUAAGUUUAAUCCCAUUGGGGUUUUAACAGCCUAUUAUUGCCCUUAUUCACGUGAGCUUUCUGGGUGGGAAGUGAUUCCUCUGAUGUGGCUGGGUCUGCUCCCACACAGCUCUGAGCACUUCAGGCCUGGACAUCUUCUGUGGAGUGGGGAGAUUGCUUGUGACCAAUGUUAUUUUCUGUUGUAGGAUGCCCCGGAAACAGCUCCCUAAUAAUAAGGGCUGUCACGUGGAGGAGAUGUGAGCCCAAAGAUAAAAAGGAAGCCCCUUCAUAGAUGGAAGGCAUCUUCAUGCUCACUAAAAUGCCAGUUCUCCCUGCAGGAUGUCUGCUCCAUAGAAACCAACAGCACGGACCAGCUGCCAAAAAAUUGAUGGAUGAGGAGCAGUGAUGGACCUCAGGGGACCCCUGAAAAAAUCACUGGUGCUACAGACCAAGAACCAAGUACCUUAGUGCAGGAGCAAUGCACGUGAAGUUGAGCAGUUUCUUCCGAGUGGCGGUUGGAGCAAACAUAUAGUCUGCAUGAAAUGUGUAUCGUCUGGUUGGCAUACAAUAAACCUGAUGAGCAGAGCUGAACGAUAA